AAGUCGUAACAAGGUUUCCGUAGGUGAACCUGCGGAAGGAUCAUUCACAAUGAGUGUUUAAUGGCACUCCAAAUCCAUUACCCACCUUGUGUGCAUUGUCGGGAGGACUCUUUUUCCCAAUCUUCUCUCUCACUCUCUCCUUUCUCCUCUUCCUCCCUCUCUCUCUCUCUUUGAGGGGAGAGAGGGGGGUUGGGGAGGGGGGAGGAGGGGAGAAGGGAGAGGGAAAGAGGGGAACUCCAUUUCAUUCAUACUCUGUUCUUCAGUAUCUGUCUACUUCAAUUGAGUAUAAAACUCGAAUACAACUUUCAACAACGGAUCUCUUGGCUCUC
rnacentral:misc_RNA from 1 species